rnacentral:snRNA from 1 species
GUGCUCACUUCAGCACAUACACUAAAAUUGGAACGUUACAGAGAAGAUUAGCAUGGCCCCUGUGCAAGGGAUGACUGUUUUAAAAUAAAAAAAUUUAGGUACACUU